UACAGAGGGGGCAAGCGUUGUUCGGAAUUACUGGGCGUAAAGGGCGCGUAGGCGGCCUUCUAAGUCGAACGUGAAAUCCCCGGGCUCAACCCGGGAACUGCGUCCGAUACUGGAAGGCUUGAAUCCGGGAGAGGGAUGCGGAAUUCCAGGUGUAGCGGUGAAAUGCGUAGAUAUGCGGAGGAACACCGAUGGCGAAGGCAAUCCCCUGGGCCUGCACUGACGCCCAGGCACGAAAGCGUGGGGAGCAAACAGG
rnacentral:rRNA from 1 species